rnacentral:rRNA from 1 species
AUGCAAGUCGAACGAUGAACCACUUCGGUGGGGAUUAGUGGCGAACGGGUGAGUAACACGUGGGCAAUCUGCCCUGCACUCUGGGACAAGCCCUGGAAACGGGGUCUAAUACCGGAUACUGACCAUUACGGGCAUCCGUGGUGGUCGAAAGCUCCGGCGGUGCAGGAUGAGCCCGCGGCCUAUCAGCUUGUUGGUGAGGUAACGGCUCACCAAGGCGACGACGGGUAGCCGGCCUGAGAGGGCGACCGGCCACACUGGGACUGAGACACGGCCCAGACUCCUACGGGAGGCAGCAGUGGGGAAUAUUGCACAAUGGGCGAAAGCCUGAUGCAGCGACGCCGCGUGAGGGAUGACGGCCUUCGGGUUGUAAACCUCUUUCAGCAGGGAAGAAGCGAAAGUGACGGUACCUGCAGAAGAAGCGCCGGCUAACUACGUGCCAGCAGCCGCGGUAAUACGUAGGGCGCGAGCGUUGUCCGGAAUUAUUGGGCGUAAAGAGCUCGUAGGCGGCUUGUCACGUCGGUUGUGAAAGCCCGGGGCUUAACCCCGGGUCUGCAGUCGAUACGGGCAGGCUAGAGUUCGGUAGGGGAGAUCGGAAUUCCUGGUGUAGCGGUGAAAUGCGCAGAUAUCAGGAGGAACACCGGUGGCGAAGGCGGAUCUCUGGGCCGAUACUGACGCUGAGGAGCGAAAGCGUGGGGAGCGAACAGGAUUAGAUACCCUGGUAGUCCACGCCGUAAACGGUGGGCACUAGGUGUGGGCGACAUUCCACGUCGUCCGUGCCGCAGCUAACGCAUUAAGUG